GACAGAGGGUGCAAACGUUGCUCGGAAUCACUGGGCGUAAAGGGCGCGUAGGCGGGAAUGUAAGUCGGGCGUGAAAUCCCCAGGCUCAACCUGGGAACUGCACUCGAAACUGCGUUUCUUGAGUAUCUGAGAGGAAAGCGGAAUUCCUGGUGUAGAGGUGAAAUUCGUAGAUAUCAGGAGGAACACCAGUGGCGAAGGCGGCUUUCUGGACGGUAACUGACGCUGAGGCGCGAAAGCGUGGGGAGCAAACAGG
rnacentral:rRNA from 1 species